CGCGCCGCGACUACAUGUCCCAGGAGGCGCCGCGCGCGGCUCUGCUUCCGGCCGGGCUCUGCCGACUUCCUGCCGGCUGGGGCUGCCUGCACCGGGACGGAAACCCGGAGACCGCUCCUCGCUCGUCAGAGACCCUGUGUGCGCCCGGCUUCCGCACAUGCGCGAAGGCCGCCUGCGACCCCCUGCGUCCCCCGGCGUCCCUCUGCGUCCGGUGGCCGCACGGCGGGCGCUCUUCUGGUGGAGGGGUGGGUGGUGGAACGGUGGAUGCUAGGUGCCCGCAAAGGUGGAGGCCAAGGGCUCAGGCGUGGCAGGCGGGCCCGAGCACGAGGAGCUCCGCCGGGGCUCGCAAAGGACGGGCGUGGCGCGAAUGGGGAGAGGGGAGAGGCGGCCGGCGCUUCGCUGUGCGGUGCCCCGCGAACUGGCGGGCGCUGAGAGGACAGGUUAUCUGCAGACGGAGUCCUCUUACUUCUUCGCUCUGAAAGCACUUUUUAAGUCCCCAUGCUAUGCUAGGCACUGCGCUAAGCCCUGGGGAUCGGCUCUACCCGACAGACAGGCCCCUGCCUUCGGGGGACGCAGACGUUAACCACAGCAAUCGGCGGCCAGCGGGCACACUGCUGGAGACGGCUUCUAGUGACCUCUGCCUCCCGCCGCCCCGGGGAUGCCCGUGUCCUCCCCUGCCCUGAGAGCAAGCCGGCGGCGAGUGAGCUGGGUUGGGUACUAAUCGCCGUGAGUCCCGACAUGCCACGAGGCACCUCGGGGCGCCCCAGCGAGGGCUUGGCUCUGGAGUAGAUGCCGGCAGGGAGGGGGGAUAAUUCGAUAAUUGGACAACUGUAUACAUCUUACCUGCCAGAAGAGGAUACUAAACUGACGCUAAAGCUGUAAUUGGUAAAGAAGUUCAGCCCCUGGAAUUAGCCUGUUGGGGGUAUUUAGUCAUCUUUUGUGGUUUGGAAAAUGUUAAGGUUUUGUCUGUGUUCACACGUGAUUUUGAAGUAGUCUUGCUUUUGUCUUGAUCUUCCAUGAUUACAGAAUGGCCUUAUCUGAGGUUGAUGUUCCGUGAAAUUGUUUAUGUUCUAUAGGAGAACACAAGGCCUCUCUGUAAGGGCUAGGCUAUUGUCUAGUACCAUUACAACCCAACCCAUUUACCAGGCCAGCUCCCAAUGUCAGAGACAUUUGCUUUCCUGUUUAUCAAGCGUUUCUAGAUGACCUAGAAAUCUUUGCCUUUUUAAGGACAGAGCUAUUACAGUAAUUUGUAUACACUCAGGAUGCAGUGUAAGUUCCCUGCAGGUAGAAUUUGACAUUUCAUAAUCUUUGGUGCUUUUCACCAAGAGAAUUGAAAGAAAAGCAAUGGGAAGAAAGAGCCCAGAAUUGGAAGGUUAUUGCCAUUAACUUGCUGUAUGAAUUUCAUGAAGUAAUUUUCCCUCUCUGGACCUUGGGACAUUAAGUAGUAAAACAAGGAGGUUGAGAUAAAUGGUCUUCAUUUCAGUUACUUAUUGCAAUAUAACAAACCGCCCCAAGACUUAGUAGCUUAGGUGCAUUGGUCUAUUUUUUACAAUUGUGUGGGCCCACAUGGCAUAAGCUGAGAUUACACAUGGGCUACAGUCAGCUGGAAUCUCCUUCAAAAUGACUUCUCAUCCUCUUGUGCCUCUCUUUUCCACAAGGUUUCUUAUCACUCAAGCUUCUGCAUGGUGGUUAGGAAGAGGACAAGCCCCAAUGAACAAAUGCUUGAAAAGCCUCUGGUUGUACCACACUUUCUAAUGCCCCAUUGGCCAAAGCAAGUCAUGAAACCAAGUCCACAGUCAGUGUGGAAAGGUUCUCCACAGGGACGUGAGUGCAGAGAGGCUUGGUUCAUUGGGCUCCACCAAUGGAACAGCCAACCCAAACUGCAAAGGUCCCAGCACCUGCCACAGGACAUAGCACAGCAGGGACCGGCAGGAGUCCUGUGCUGUGCUGAAUACGAGCACCCUCUCCAUGUUGCAAGGGAUUGCACCCAGGGCCUUGCAUAUGCUGGCAAGCGCUCCACCACUGAGCCACACCCCAGUCCUGCCACUGUCUUCUUUACAUCAAGUCUGUCCUCCGUGGUUUCCUAUGUUGUCACCACUCUGUUAUUAUUCUGUAUCUGUAUCCUAGUCUUUUUUCUGCUGCUGUAACAAUACCUGAGACUAAGAGGUGUGUUUAGUUCAUGGUUCUGAAGUCCAACAGGAUGGCACUGGCAUCUGCUUGGCAUCUGAUGAAGGCCUUUCCCUAGGUCAUGACAUGACAGGGUGUCACAUGGAAAGCCACUCCCUUGUACCCCAUAUCUCAAUCCAUCCAUGAGGGCACAGCCCUCAUGACCAUGUCACUCUUAACAGUCCACCUCUUAACACCAUGCAAUGGGGAUUAAAUUUCAACUUGAAUUUUGGUGGGGACAUUUAAAUCCUAGCUAUCCGUAUGCUUCUCUUACUUUAAUUUUGUACCAAAUCAAUAUAGAUAUUUGUGUUUGCCAUCCUGUCAUUAGAACUGUAAUAGAGAUUGACUCAA